rnacentral:sRNA from 1 species
GCUGGGCAUGGUGGCACAGGCCUGUAAUCCCAGCUGUUUGGGAGGCUGAGGCAGGAGGAUUGCUAGUUCAAAGCCAGCCUCAGCAACUUAGUGAGGCCCUAAGCAAUUCUGAAGAUCCUGUCUCUA